rnacentral:rRNA from 1 species
AGGCCUAACACAUGCAAGUCGAGCGGUAGCACAAGGGAGCUUGCUCCCUGGGUGACGAGCGGCGGACGGGUGAGUAAUGUCUGGGGAUCUGCCUGAUGGAGGGGGAUAACUACUGGAAACGGUAGCUAAUACCGCAUAACGUCGCAAGACCAAAGUGGGGGACCUUAGGGCCUCAUGCCAUCGGAUGAACCCAGAUGGGAUUAGCUAGUAGGUGGGGUAAUGGCUCACCUAGGCGACGAUCCCUAGCUGGUCUGAGAGGAUGACCAGCCACGCUGGAACUGAGACACGGUCCAGACUCCUACGGGAGGCAGCAGUGGGGAAUAUUGCACAAUGGGCGCAAGCCUGAUGCAGCCAUGCCGCGUGUGUGAAGAAGGCCUUAGGGUUGUAAAGCACUUUCAGCGAGGAGGAAGGAUGAAGUGUUAAUAGCACUUGAUAUUGACGUUACUCGCAGAAGAAGCACCGGCUAACUCCGUGCCAGCAGCCGCGGUAAUACGGAGGGUGCAAGCGUUAAUCGGAAAUUCGAUGCAACGCGAAGAACCUUACCUACUCUUGACAUCCAGAGAAUUAGCCAGAGAUGGCUGAGUGCCUUCGGGAGCUCUGAGACAGGUGCUGCAUGGCUGUCGUCAGCUCGUGUUGUGAAAUGUUGGGUUAAGUCCCGCAACGAGCGCAACCCUUAUCCUUUGUUGCCAGCGAUUCGGUCGGGAACUCAAAGGAGACUGCCGGUGAUAAACCGGAGGAAGGUGGGGAUGACGUCAAGUCAUCAUGGCCCUUACGAGUAGGGCUACACACGUGCUACAAUGGCGUAUACAAAGAGAAGCGAGCCUGCGAGGGGAAGCGGACCUCAUAAAGUACGUCGUAGUCCGGAUUGGAGUCUGCAACUCGACUCCAUGAAGUCGGAAUCGCUAGUAAUCGUAGAUCAGAAUGCUACGGUGAAUACGUUCCCGGGCCUUGUACACACCGCCCGUCACANCCAUGGGAGUGGGUUGCAAAAGAAGUAGGUAGCUUAACCUUCGGGAGGGCGCUUACCACUUUGUGGUUCAUGA